rnacentral:lncRNA from 1 species
AGGGGGUAGAGGCUGGUCUUCUACUUGCUGUAGGCCUUGAACGGCCGCAGUGAGUGCUUGGACUUGUUGGACAAGUAGGAUGAACUGCUCUGGUUGGGCUUGAGGGACUGGAUCCGCUGGAGGCCUUGGUGGUGGGUUCUGGACUGAGUGUCCAGGACUUGGUGCGCGAUGUCGGGAGGCAUUAGAGGCUCCUUUACUUCUCAGCUUCAUGGUUACGACUCGGGCCCUUCCUCUAGCGCCAAUUGUCGCUGGAAAUUGGAUCCGGGGGUGACCACUGGCUGAGAAAGGGGAGCUCCGGCGGGUGGCGCGUCGGCAGGCUGCGUCCUCCGGAGGACCUGCAAAAAGCCGGUGGCCGAGGUUUCCGGCGCCGGCCCUCCGAUGCUUAAGUCAGAGGGGGGCUUUCGUGGAGAAAGAGAGAGAUGUUGCAUGCAAGGUCUGAGAGUCUCAAGUCCCAUUCCCCUUUAAAGAGGAAGG